rnacentral:rRNA from 1 species
CCUACGGGAGGCAGCAGUGGGGAAUAUUGGACAAUGGGCGAAAGCCUGAUCCAGCAAUGCCGCGUGAGUGAUGAGGGCCUUAGGGUCGUAAAGCUCUUUUACCCGGGAUGAUAAUGACAGUACCGGGAGAAUAAGCCCCGGCUAACUCCGUGCCAGCAGCCGCGGUAAUACGGAGGGGGCUAGCGUUGUUCGGAAUUACUGGGCGUAAAGCGUGCGUAGGCGGUUAUUCAAGUCAGAGGUGAAAGCCCGGGGCUCAACCCCGGAACGGCCUUUGAAACUAGGUAGCUAGAAUCUUGGAGAGGUCAGUGGAAUUCCGAGUGUAGAGGUGAAAUUCGUAGAUAUUCGGAAGAACACCAGUGGCGAAGGCGACUGACUGGACAAGUAUUGACGCUGAGGCACGAAAGCGUGGGGAGCAAACAGGAUUAGAUACCCUGGUAGUCCACGCCGUAAACGAUGAUAACUAGCUGUUCGGGUACUUGGUAUCUGAGUGGCGCAGCUACGACAUUAAGUUAUCCGUCCGUCGGGUAGGUACGGUCGCGAAGAAUAAACUAACAAAUAGAAUUAGUACGGCGUGAGACGUGCCGAACGGACGACACGAGGGAGGUAGG